AGCAAUGGGUAAUUCCAGGCCACCUUGUAGGGAACAAUAUUGGAUGAUUUUGCAAUUGUGUUAUACGGCCUUAAAUAAAAUAUUGCAUCGAUAAGUAUUCAAGAGUAGAUAUUGUGUUAGAUUUACUAAAUGGAUCAUUGAAAGGCUAGAUGUGAGAAGACAAAAGUUGGGUUUUGGAGUAGUUUUCUCUAUGAAGAUGACAACGAAACGAAAUUUUUGAAGUGUCUUGCCGACAGAAAUGCUUCUGUAGAGACUAAUAAGGAUACUUUCCAUCUAUCCCUUGUAAGCCUGGAGAAGCAGAUAUACGAAUUUUUGUCCAUGUUCGGCCUGAUUAUGAAAAUUGUUGUAGGACGGUAAUUUAAGGUAG
rnacentral:lncRNA from 1 species